UACGUAGGGUGCGAGCGUUAAUCGGAAUUACUGGGCGUAAAGCGUGCGCAGGCGGUGAUGUAAGACAGUUGUGAAAUCCCCGGGCUCAACCUGGGAACUGCAUCUGUGACUGCAUCGCUGGAGUGCGGCAGAGGGGGAUGGAAUUCCGCGUGUAGCAGUGAAAUGCGUAGAUAUGCGGAGGAACACCGAUGGCGAAGGCAAUCCCCCUGG
rnacentral:rRNA from 1 species